rnacentral:rRNA from 1 species
AGUCGAGCGGCAGCGACUUAACUGAACCUUCGGGGAACGUUAAGGGCGGCGAGCGGCGGACGGGUGAGUAAUGCCUGGGGAUAUGCCCUGAUGUGGGGGAUAACUAUUGGAAACGAUAGCUAAUACCGCAUAAUCUCUUCGGAGCAAAGAGGGGGACCUUCGGGCCUCUCGCGUCAGGAUUAGCCCAGGUGGGAUUAGCUUGUUGGUGAGGUAAUGGCUCACCAAGGCAACGAUCCCUAGCUGGUCUGAGAGGAUGAUCAGCCACACUGGAACUGAGACACGGUCCAGACUCCUACGGGAGGCAGCAGUGGGGAAUAUUGCACAAUGGGGGAAACCCUGAUGCAGCCAUGCCGCGUGUGUGAAGAAGGCCUUCGGGUUGUAAGGCACUCUCAGUAGGGAGGAAGGUAGUGUAGUUAACACCUGCAUUAUUUGACGUUACCUACAGAAGAAGCACCGGCUAACUCCGUGCCAGCAGCCGCGGUAAUACGGAGGGUGCGAGCGUUAAUCGGAAUUACUGGGCGUAAAGCGCAUGCAGGCGGCCUGUUAAGUCAGAUGUGAAAGCCCGGGGCUUAACCUCGGAAUUGCAUUUGAACUGGCAGGCUAGAGUCUUGUAGAGGGGGGUAGAAUUUCAGGUGUAGCGGUGAAAUGCGUAGAGAUCUGAAGGAAUACCAGUGGCGA